rnacentral:rRNA from 1 species
AGAGUUUGAUCCUGGCUCAUGACGAACGCUGGCGGCGCGCCUAACACAUGCAAGUCGAACGAGAGAUGAAGAGCUUGCUCUUCAAAUCGAGUGGCGAACGGGUGAGUAACGCGUGAGGAACCUGCCUCAAAGAGGGGGACAACAGUUGGAAACGACUGCUAAUACCGCAUAAGCCCACAGCUCGGCAUCGAGCAGAGGGAAAAGGAGUAAUCCGCUUUGAGAUGGCCUCGCGUCCGAUUAGCUAGUUGGUGAGGUAACGGCCCACCAAGGCAACGAUCGGUAGCCGGACUGAGAGGUUGAACGGCCACAUUGGGACUGAGACACGGCCCAGACUCCUACGGGAGGCAGCAGUGGGGAAUAUUGCACAAUGGGGGAAACCCUGAUGCAGCGACGCCGCGUGGAGGAAGAAGGUCUUCGGAUUGUAAACUCCUGUUGUUGAGGAAGAUAAUGACGGUACUCAACAAGGAAGUGACGGCUAACUACGUGCCAGCAGCCGCGGUAAAACGUAGGUCACAAGCGUUGUCCGGAAUUACUGGGUGUAAAGGGAGCGCAGGCGGGAGAACAAGUUGGAAGUGAAAUCCAUGGGCUCAACCCAUGAACUGCUUUCAAAACUGUUUUUCUUGAGUAGUGCAGAGGUAGGCGGAAUUCCCGGUGUAGCGGUGGAAUGCGUAGAUAUCGGGAGGAACACCAGUGGCGAAGGCGGCCUACUGGGCACCAACUGACGCUGAGGCUCGAAAGUGUGGGUAGCAAACAGGAUUAGAUACCUGGUAGUCCACACCGUAAACGAUGAUUACUAGGUGUUGGAGGAUUGACCCCUUCAGUGCCGCAGUUAACACAAUAAGUAAUCCACCUGGGGAGUACGACCGCAAGGUUGAAACUCAAAGGAAUUGACGGGGGCCCGCACAAGCAGUGGAGUAUGUGGUUUAAUUCGACGCAACGCGAAGAACCUUACCAAGUCUUGACAUCCUGCGACGCACAUAGAAAUAUGUGUUUCCUUCGGGACGCAGAGACAGGUGGUGCAUGGUUGUCGUCAGCUCGUGUCGUGAGAUGUUGGGUUAAGUCCCGCAACGAGCGCAACCCUUAUGGUCAGUUACUACGCAAGAGGACUCUGGCCAGACUGCCGUUGACAAAACGGAGGAAGGUGGGGAUGACGUCAAAUCAUCAUGCCCUUUAUGACUUGGGCUACACACGUACUACAAUGGCGUUAAACAAAGAGAAGCAAGACCGCGAGGUGGAGCAAAACUCAGAAACAACGUCCCAGUUCGGACUGCAGGCUGCAACUCGCCUGCACGAAGUCGGAAUUGCUAGUAAUCGUGGAUCAGCAUGCCACGGUGAAUACGUUCCCGGGCCUUGUACACACCGCCCGUCACACCAUGAGAGCCGGGGGGACCCGAAGUCGGUAGUCUAACCGCAAGGAGGACGCCGCCGAAGGUAAAACUGGUGAUUGGGGUGAAGUCGUAACAAGGUAGCC